rnacentral:rRNA from 1 species
AGGACGAACGCUGGCGGCGUGCUUUACACAUGCAAGUCGAACGGUGAACUCGGUGCUUGCACCGGGGGAUCAGUGGCGAACGGGUGAGUAACACGUGAGCAAUCUGCCCCUAACUCUGGGAUAACUGCGGGAAACCGCAGCUAAUACCGGAUACGACCCAGGCAGGCAUCUGCACUGGGUGGAAAGUUUUUCGGUAGGGAUGAGCUCGCGGCCUAUCAGCUUGUGGUGGGUAAUGGCCUACCAAGGCGACGACGGGUA